GCAAGUCGAGCGAUGCAAACUUCUCUUCUAGAAGUGGCAUUAGCGGCGGACGGGUGAGUAACACGUGGGUAACCUGCCUCAAAGUGGGGGAUAGCCUUCCGAAAGGAAGAUUAAUACCGCAUAAUAUAAUGAGAAUCGCAUGAUUUUCUUAUCAAAGAUUUAUUGCUUUGAGAUGGACCCGCGGCGCAUUAGCUAGUUGGUAAGGUAAUGGCUUACCAAGGCAUCGAUGCGUAGCCGACCUGAGAGGGUGAUCGGCCACAUUGGAACUGACACACGGCUCCAGACUCCUACGGGAGGCAUACAGUGGGGAAUAUUGCGCAAUGGGGGAAACCCUGACACAGCAACGCCGCGUGGGUGAUGAAGGUCUUCGGAUUGUAAAGCCCUGUUUUCUGGUACGAUAAUGACAGAACCAGAGGAGGAAGCCACGGCUAACUACGUGCCAGCCCCCGCGGUAAUACCUAGGUGGCCAGCGUUGCCCGGAUUUACUGGGCGUAAAGGGUGCGUAGGCGGUUGUUUAAGUGGGAUGUGAAAUCCCCGGGCUUAACCUGGGGGCUGCAUUCCAAACUGGAUAUCUAUAGUGCAGGAGAGGAAAGCGGAAUUCCUAGUGUGCCGGUGAAAUGCAUAGAGAUUAGGAAGAACACCAGUGGCGAAAGCGGCUUUCUGGACUGUAACUGACGCUGAGGCACGAAAGCGUGGGUAGCAAACAGGAUUAGAUACCCUGGUAGUCCACKCCGUAAACGAUGGAUACUAGGUGUAGGGGGUAUCAACUCCCCCUGUGCCGCAGUUAACACAAUAAGUAUCCCGCCUGGGGAGUACGGUCGCAAGAUUAAAACUCAAAGGAAUUGACGGGGGCCCGCACAAGCAGCGGAGCAUGUGGUUUAAUUCGAAGCAACGCGAAGAACCUUACCUGGACUUGACAUCCCUUGCAUAGCCUAGAGAUAGGUGAAGCCCUUCGGGGCAAGGAGACAGGUGGUGCAUGGUUGUCGUCAGCUCGUGUCGUAAGAUGUUAGGUUAAGUCCUGCAACGAGCGCAACCCUUGUUAUUAGUUGCUACCAUUAAGUUGAGCACUUUAAUGAGACUGCCUGGGUAACCAGGAGGAAGGUGGGGAUGACGUCAAAUCAUCAUGCCCCUUAUGUCCAGGGCUACACACGUGCUACAAUGGUAGGUACAAUAAGAAGCAAGACCGUGAGGUGGAGCAAAACUUAUAAAACCUAUCUCAGUUCGGAUUGUAGGCUGCAACUCGCCUACAUGAAGCUGGAGUUGCUAGUAAUCGCGAAUCAGCAUGUCGCGGUGAAUACGUUCCCGGGCCUUGUACACACCGCCCGUCACACCAUGAGAGCUGUGUAACACCCGAAGUCCCGUGAGGUAACCGUAAGGAGCCAGCGCGCCGAAGGUGGUAUUAGUCAUUGGGGGGAAGU
rnacentral:rRNA from 1 species